AUAGCUUUGGUCCUGGGCUUACCGUUAUUUUUUAUCAAGAUUAUACAUGCAAGCCUCAACAACCCAGUGAAAAUGCCCACAACCCCUCAAAAGACAAAAUGGAGCAGGCAUCAGGCACUAUAACUUAAGCCCACAACGCCUAGCCACGCCACACCCCCACGGGCUUACAGCAGUAAUAAACAUUGGGCCAUAAGUGAAAACUUGACCCAACUAUGAUAACUUAGGGCUGGUCAAUUUCGUGCCAGCCACCGCGGUUAUACGAAAGGCCCAAAAUAACGACAAAUCGGCGUAAAAUGUGACUAGAGAUCUAUAAUAUUCUUAACAUCAAAAUUUUUAGCCUAGUUGUAAAAUACUAAGACAAUAAAGAAAACCAACACAGAUAUUAUUAAUAUUAUAUUCUUGACCACACGAAAGCUUAGAAACAAACUAGGAUUAGAUACCCUACUAUGCUAAGCCCUGAACAUUGAAAGUUAUAAUACAAGACUUCCGCCAGAGAACUACAAGUGAAAAAUUGAAACUCAAAGGACUUGACGGUGUCCCAUAUCGG
rnacentral:rRNA from 1 species